AGAGCGAACGCUGGCGGCACGGCUUAACACAUGCAAGUCGAGCGCCCCGCAAGGGGAGCGGCAGACGGGAGAGUAACACGUGGGAACGUACCCUUCAGUUCGGAACAACCCAGGGAAACUUGGGCUAAUACCGAAUACGUCCGUAAGGAGAAAGAUUUAUCGCUGAAGGAUCGGCCCGCGUCUGAUUAGCUAGUUGGUGAGGUAACGGCUCACCAAGGCGACGAUCAGUAGCUGGUCUGAGAGGAUGAUCAGCCUCACUGGGACUGAGACACGGCCCAGACUCCUACGGGAGGCAGCAGUGGGGAAUAUUGGACAAUGGGCGCAAGCCUGAUCCAGCCAUGCCGCGUGGAUGAUGAAGGCCCUAGGGUUGUAAAAGUCCUUUCGGCGGGGAAGAUAAUGACGGUACCCGCAGAAGAAGCCCCGGCUAACUUCGUGCCAGCAGCCGC
rnacentral:rRNA from 1 species